GCCUGACGGAGCACGCCGCGUGAGUGAUGAAGGGUUUCGGCUCGUAAAACUCUGUUAUUAGGGAAAAACAAACGUGUAAGUAACUGUGCACGUCUUGACGGUACCUAAUCAGAAAGCCACGGCUAACUACGUGCCAGCAGCCGCGGUAAUACGUAGGUGGCAAGCGUUAUCCGGAAUUUUUGGGCGUAUAGCGCCCAAGCGGUUUCCUAAGCCUGAUGAGAACCCCCCCGGCUCACCCGGGGAGGGUCAUUGGAAACUGGGAAACUUGAGUGCAGAAGAGGAAAGUGGAAUUCCAUGUGUAGCGGUGAAAUGCGCCGAGAUAUGGAGGAACACCAGUGGCGAAGGCUACUUUCUGGCUGUAGUGACGCUGAUGUGCGAAAUCUUGCGGAUCAAACAGGAUUACAUACCCUGGUACUCCACGCCGUAUUCGAUGAGUGCUAAGUGUAAGGGGGUUUCCGCCCCUUAUGCUGCACCUUAAGCAUUCCGCCCUUCCGCCUGGGGGAGUCCCACCCGGGGGUUGAAACUCU
rnacentral:rRNA from 1 species